GAAAGAUUCAUCGGAAGAGGAUGGGCAUGCGGCGCAUUAGCUUGACGGCGGGGUAACGGCCCACCGUGGCGACGAUGCGUAGGGGUUCUGAGAGGAAGGUCCCCCACACUGGUACUGAGACACGGACCAGACUCCUACGGGAGGCAGCAGUGAGGAAUAUUGGUCAAUGGGAGAGAUCCUGAACCAGCCAAGCCGCGUGAGGGAAGACGGCCUAUGGGUUGUAAACCUCUUUUGUCGGAGAACAAAACCCGGGACGUGUCCCGGACUGCGUGUAUCCGAAGAAAAAGCAUCGGCUAACUCCGUGCCAGCAGCCGCGGUAAUACGGAGGAUGCGAGCGUUAUCCGGAUUUAUUGGGUUUAAAGGGUGCGUAGGCGGUCCGUUAAGUCAGCGGUAAAAUUGCGGGGCUCAACCCCGUCGAGCCGUUGAAACUGGCAGACUUGAGUUGGCGAGAAGUACGCGGAAUGCGCGGUGUAGCGGUGAAAUGCAUAGAUAUCGCGCAGAACUCCGAUUGCGAAGGCAGCGUACCGGCGCCAGACUGACGCUGAGGCACGAAAGCGUGGGGAUCGAACAGGAUUAGAUACCCUGGUAGUCCACGCAGUAAACGAUGAAUGCUGGUUGUCCGGGUCGAAUGAGACCUGG
rnacentral:rRNA from 1 species